rnacentral:rRNA from 1 species
AUUGAACGCUGGCGGCAGGCCUAACACAUGCAAGUCGGACGGUAGCACAGAGGAGCUUGCUCCUCGGGUGACGAGUGGCGGACGGGUGAGUAAUGUCUGGGAAACUGCCCGAUGGAGGGGGAUAACUACUGGAAACGGUAGCUAAUACCGCAUAACGUCGCAAGACCAAAGUGGGGGACCUUCGGGCCUCACACCAUCGGAUGUGCCCAGAUGGGAUUAGCUGGUAGGCGGGGUAACGGCCCACCUAGGCGACGAUCCCUAGCUGGUCUGAGAGGAUGACCAGCCACACUGGAACUGAGACACGGUCCAGACUCCUACGGGAGGCAGCAGUGGGGAAUAUUGCACAAAGGGCGCAAGCCUGAUGCAGCCAUGCCGCGUGUAUGAAGAAGGCCUUCGGGUUGUAAAGUACUUUCAGCGGGGAGGAAGGUGCUGAGGUUAAUAAGCUCAGCAAUUGACGUUACCCGCAGAAGAAGCACCGGCUAACUCCGUGCCAGCCGCCGCGGUAA